rnacentral:rRNA from 1 species
CCUACGGGAGGCAGCAGUGAGGAAUAUUGGUCAAUGGUCGGGAGACUGAACCAGCCAAGCCGCGUGAGGGAUGAAGGUACAGAGUAUCGUAAACCUCUUUUGUCAGGGAACAAAGGCGGGGACGUGUCCCCGGAUGAGUGUACCUGAAGAAAAAGCAUCGGCUAACUCCGUGCCAGCAGCCGCGGUAAUACGGAGGAUGCGAGCGUUAUCCGGAUUUAUUGGGUUGAAAGGGUGCGCAGGCGGGUUGUUAAGUCAGCGGGAAAAGCCCGGGGCUCAACCCCGGCCCGCCGUUGAAACUGGCAGUCUCGAGUUGGAGAGAAGUAUGCGGAAUGCGCGGUGUAGCGGUGAAAUGCAUAGAUAUCGCGCAGAACUCCGAUUGCGAAGGCAGCAUGCCGGCUCCACACUGACGCUGAGGCACGAAAGCGUGGGUAUCGAACAGGAUUAGAUACCCCUGUAGUC